rnacentral:rRNA from 1 species
UACGUAGUGGGCAAGCGUUUUCCGGAUUUAUUGGGCGUAAAGAGCGUGUAGGCGGCCAGGUAGGUCAGCUGUGAAAACUCGAGGCUCAACCUCGAGACGUCGGUUGAAACCACCUGGCUAGAGUCCGGAAGAGGAGAGUGGAAUUCCUGGUGUAGCGGUGAAAUGAGCAGAUAUCAGGAAGAACACCCGUGGCGAAGGCGGCUCUAUGGGACGGUACUGACGCUGAGAAGCGAAAGCGUGGGGAGCGAACAGG